CAGCCGCCACGGUAAUACGGAGGGGGCAAGCGUUGUCCGGAAUUAUUGGGCGUAAAGGGCUCGCAGGCGGUUUCUUAAGUCUGAUGUGAAAGCCCCCGGCUCAACCGGGGAGGGUCAUUGGAAACUGGGAAACUUGAGUGCAGAAGAGGAGAGUGGAAUUCCACGUGUUGCGGUGAAAUGCGUAGAGAUGUGGAGGAACACCAGUGGCGAAGGCGACUCUCUGGUCUGUAACUGACGCUGAGGAGCGAAAGCGUGGGGAGCGAACAGGAUUAGAGACCCCGGUAGUCCCUGUCUCUUAUAC
rnacentral:rRNA from 1 species